CUACGGGAGGCUGCAGUCGAGAAUCUUCCACAAUGGACGAAAGUCUGAUGGAGCGACGCCGCGUGCGGGAUGACUGCCUUCGGGUUGUAAACCGCUGUCAGUUGGGAGGAAAUCUUAGGGGGUUAUCCCCUUAAGUUGACCUAUCUUCAGAGGAAGGACGGGCUAAGUUCGUGCCAGCAGCCGCGGUAAGACGAACCGUCCAAACGUUAUUCGGUAUCACUGGGCUUAAAGGGUGCGUAGGCGGCCUAGUAAGUUGGGUGUGAAAUCCCUCGGCUCAACCGAGGAACUGCGCUCAAUACUGCUAGGCUAGAGGAAGGUAGAGGUAAGCGGAACUCGCGGUGGAGCGGUGAAAUGCAUUGAUAUCGCGGGGAACACCAGUGGCGAAGGCGGCUUGCUGGACCUUUUCUGACGCUGAGGCACGAAAGCUAGGGGAGCGAACGGGAUUAGAUACCCUGGUAGUC
rnacentral:rRNA from 1 species